rnacentral:rRNA from 1 species
UGGGGAAUUUUGGACAAUGGGCGAAAGCCUGAUCCAGCAAUGCCGCGUGUGUGAAGAAGGCCUUCGGGUUGUAAAGCACUUUUGUCCGGAAAGAAAUCCUCUGGGUUAAUACCUCGGGGGGAUGACGGUACCGGAAGAAUAAGCACCGGCUAACUACGUGCCAGCAGCCGCGGUAAUACGUAGGGUGCAAGCGUUAAUCGGAAUUACUGGGCGUAAAGCGUGCGCAGGCGGUUUUGUAAGACGGAUGUGAAAUCCCCGGGCUUAACCUGGGAACUGCAUUCGUGACUGCAAGGCUAGAGUAUGGCAGAGGGGGGUUAGAAUUCCACGUGUAGCAGUGAAAUGCGUAGAGAUGUGGAGGAAUACCGAUGGCGAAGGCAGCCCCCUGGGCCAAUACUGACGCUCAUGCACGAAAGCGUGGGGAGCAAACAGGAUUAGAUACCCUGGUAGUCCACGCCCUAAACGAUGUCAACUAGUUGUUGGGGAUUCAUUUCCUUAGUAACGUAGCUAACGCGUGAAGUUGACCGCCUGGGGAGUACGGUCGCAAGAUUAAAACUUAAAUGAAUUGAC